GGGGUUGUGGCUCAGUGGUAGAGUGCUUGCCUAGCAUGUGUGAGGCCCUGGGUUCAACCCUCAGCACCA
rnacentral:tRNA from 1 species